UACAGAGGGUGCGAGCGUUGUCCGGAAUCACUGGGCGUAAAGGGCGCGUAGGCGGUCUGCUAAGCGUGUGGUGAAAGCUCGGGGCUCAACCCCGAGUCGGCCGUGCGAACUGGUGGACUCGAGCAUGUCAGAGGCAGGCGGAAUUCCGGGUGUAGCGGUGGAAUGCGUAGAGAUCCGGAAGAACACCGGUGGCGAAGGCGGCCUGCUGGGCAGUGGCUGACGCUGAGGCGCGACAGCGUGGGGAGCAAACAGG
rnacentral:rRNA from 1 species